GAUGAAGAACGCAGCAAAAUGCGAUACUUGGUGUGAAUUGCAGAAUCCCGUGAACCAUCGAGUUUUUGAACGCACAUUGCGCCCCCUGGUAUUCCGGGGGGCAUGCCUGUCCGAGCGUCAUUGCUGCCCUCAAGCACGGCUUGUGUGUUGGGCCCCGCCCCCCGGCUCCCGGGGGGCGGGCCCGAAAGGCAGCGGCGGCACCGCGUCCGGUCCUCGAGCGUAUGGGGCUUCGUCACCCGCUCCGUAGGCCCGGCCGGCGCCCGCCGGCGACCCCCCUCAAUCUUUUCAGGUUGACCUCGGAUCAGGUAGGGAUACCCGCUGAACUUAAGCAUAUCAAUAAGCGGAGGA
rnacentral:misc_RNA from 1 species